rnacentral:RNase_P_RNA from 1 species
GAGGACCAGGGAGCCGCAGGGGCUUUCACCCCUGAGGAAGGUCCGGACUCCACAGGGCAGGCCGCUCGGGGAAACCCGAGAGGGGGCGACCCCUGGAAAGUGCCACAGAAAACAGACCGCCAGCGGCCCCUCCACUAUCUCACCGGCAUCCGUGGAGGGGUGCGGGCAAGGGUGAAACGGUGGGGUAAGAGCCCACCGCCGGGGCCGCGAGGUUCCCGGGCACGGCAAACCCCGGCCGGAGCAAGGCCAAAUAGGGGGGCGGUUGAGGGUGGCCCGCCCGAUGCCCCCGGGUAGGCCGCCAAGAUGGAUGGCUCCCUUAAACACAGAAUCCGGCCUAUGGGCCUCU